CCUACGGGAGGCAGCAGUAGGGAAUAUUGCUCAAUGGGGGAAACCCUGAAGCAGCAACGCCGCGUGGAGGAUGAAGGUUUUCGGAUUGUAAACUCCUUUUGUUAGAGAAGAUGAUGACGGUAUCUAACGAAUAAGCACCGGCUAACUCCGUGCCAGCAGCCGCGGUAAUACGGAGGGUGCAAGCGUUACUCGGAGUCACUGGGCGUAAAGGGCGCGUAGGCGGGAUAGCAAGUCAGAUGUGAAAUCCUAUGGCUUAACCAUAGAACUGCAUUUGAAACUGUUAUUCUAGAGUAUGGGAGAGGUAGGUGGAAUUCUUGGUGUAGGGGUAAAAUCCGUAGAGAUCAAGAGGAAUACUCAUUGCGAAGGCGACCUGCUAGAACAUAACUGACGCUGAUGCGCGAAAGCGUGGGGAGCAAACAGGAUUAGAUACCCUAGUAGUC
rnacentral:rRNA from 1 species